GAGGUUAUCAACAAAUUAUAAGUUUACGGGUACCAUGAGGAUUUUUCAUGCAUUUAAACGAAAGAAGUACAAGCGAACAGAUGACACAUUAAAGUGGCUGCAGAAGCUUGAAAAGUUAAAUAGAGCAGGGGCAGUCAAAACCGGUGCACGACACUUGGUCGAAAGACACUUCGUCGAAUAUGACACUUCGUCGAAGAUGAAACAUGGCCGAAUCCGACACUUGGUCUAAUUUUCAUAUAAAGUACGACACUUGGUCGAAAUUGUUACGUGUGACAAAGGCCUUUAUGAUGAAAAUUGAUUGUCAAAACAGUGGGAUAAUACUUCUAUAGGGUCCAACAUGUCUAGUAAGGCUGACAGAAGUGAAAGAUGGUCUGAUGGUACAAUGAUGUACAAAUGAUACUCUUUAACAAGUUGAACAUGUCAAGGUGUAAAAUGUUCUGUGGAUUCAUAUGAUGAGAAUGCCAGUGUUGAUCUGUAUGACUUAAUUAAACACAGAUAUUGAUACCUUCAGAUAUAUACCUGUGAAAUCUUCAGUGUCACCGUUCAGCUAUUGUUCAAGAUCAGUGUCUGCAGCUUGCACAGUUUAGUAUAGAGGAGCCUUCUGAAUCAACUUUGUUACAUAUUUGCUGUUAUUGUAGGACACGCAUGUAGAGAGCAGCAAGUCCUGUUCAACCGUGCAUGUAAAUGUGAUUCAGAAACUUUGAGAAUAUGUAAACAAUACACUGUUAUAAUUUUCAAAAUACUGUGUCUUGUAGUGUAUCAGUACUGUUUUGUCUCAGUUUAUAGCACAGUAUGUUCACAAA
rnacentral:lncRNA from 1 species